ensembl:lncRNA
GCUGCUGUGUCAGUAGACUCGAAGCCUCAGCUACAGCUGUCCUGAGAGGCUAUCUAUAAAAAUGCAGGUGUUCAGCGUUAGCAAAUAGUUCUUAUUAUAUGGAUCGACUUUUGGCAGCUAGUAACGAUGUUUCCUGAGAUUGAAAAAUGAUUUUCUACCUUAAACAGUGGUUUCACAUUACUGGAAUGCUGAAUUAAAAAAAAAGAAAAGAAAAAAGAAAAACAACCCUCACAAAAUUCCUCUCAUCAAGUAGUACUGAGACUGUUUUUGUUAGUUGUAUACAUUUCAUGAUUUGUAUAUUUUAGAGUAGAAUGUAGGCCUUUCUUUUCAACUGUUGUGGUUAGGUUUAGGUCCUCUGCCAAAUGAAGUAGACUCUGAAGAAUUAGGAAGGGUGAAGCACCCCGGGUUCUGUUCCUGGUCAAGGGAACCAGGGCCUGGCCGGAAGCCCAGGAGGGACCCGGGGCUGGAGUUGUUUUCAAGGUUUCCAACGUAUUAGGGCAUUUUUGUGUUUUUUACUAUUGUUUUGCAUCAUCAGAUAUGAGCAGCUCGCCUUUCAUCCCUGCUUAUAAGGGCUUCAAAUGCCCACCGUGAUGUAACUCUUAACCCUUCCUGUACCACUUCACCUGAAGGUCACGACCAGGCAGAAUUUACGACCUUGCUCGAAAUGAUGUAUGCAGUGAGGCCAUCCUUUCUCUGCAGUCCCCCCGUUUCCUGUAAUGUACCUAUUGAUUUAACCAGAGGAUGAGCUGUAUGGCUUGCUAUCUGUUAACUCCUAGGUCAAAAAUACAGUACUGCGAAAGAAUUUAAAAUGCAGGGCAAAGAGAUUUUCCUUUCGUAGUCGUGUAGAAGAAAAUACAGACAUCAUUGGCAGAGGGCUGGUGAAGCUUGCAUCAAAUAUAUGAGCUCUUCACUCCUUGCUUGGGAGUUUGCUGAGGCAACAGAGAAACUGGUUUAGCUAAAUAAAUGACAAGAUGGUGCUAUGGGGGGGUUUAAAUAAAUGAUUUUCCAUGGAGUUCCCGUUGUGGCUCAGUUGUUAACGAAUCCAAUUAGUAUCCAUGAGGAUACGGGUUCGAUCCCUGCCCUCGCUCAGUGGGUUAAGGAUCCAAUGUUGCCGUGAGCUGUGGUGUAGGUCGCAGAUGCGGCUUGGAUCCGACAAUGCUGUGGCUGUGGUGCAGGCCGGCGGCUACAGCUCGGAUUAGACCCCUAGCUUGAGAACUUCCAUAUGCCGCAGGUGCGGCCCUAGAAAAGGCAAUAAUAAUAAUAAUAAUAGUCCAUACUUUGGCAACACAUCAGCUUUUUGGAAUCUGCAAGGCAGGUAAGCCUUGAUAUCGAGGAAAUCCAGACAAACCAAUCUCAGUUAUCUGCACUAGCGGACCUGAGUUACGGCCUGUGGCAGGAGGAUUCCGAGCUGUUCCAUGGGUAAAGCUCUCGCCUUUGUCAUCUUACCGUCUCUCCCCUUCAGGUCUUUGCAGCAGAGUGCGUUUCAGGUUUUUGCUCGACAAGCGAAAGGCUCAGUUUCAAAGGCUUGGGUUUUCACAUCCAUGUCAGUAUCACAGAUUGAAAUGUGACACGGGUACCUGGCUGCAUACUUUCUUUAAACCUGAGCCAGUAACACUGCAGCAUGUGAGGGGAGGCACUCUUUCAUCUCGCGCUUUAAAGUGAAACGUUUGUUGACGUAACCCCGUUUCCAGUCUGCAGAGGUCACCCCGUAAUGUCUUGCGAUGAUGGUAAACGCAUCAACCCUGUUUGAUGUUGGAAUUGCCCUCCCCGGGGUUUUUGCCCCCACUUUGUUGUGUGAAGUAAGUUUUGUCAUCGUGAUCUCCCGCUUGCCAGCGUGUGAUGACACGGUCCCCUGGUGCUCAGGGGCCUUUUGAAACCAUGCGUGUGCUUCACCAGAUUGUGCCCUGUGUAUACUUAAAGGAGGGUGCUAGAAAUAAGUGGGUUCUUACACCGUUUUGAUAAUGUUCUCGGGAAGGGUGGGCAAUCCAGUGCAGAGACACCAAACUCUGGUUUCUGGCUCUCCUGCGGCCUCUUGACAGUACUGGAAGUUGUUGUGUGGUGAGCACUCAGUAAUCGGUGUGGAAUCGAGUGCAGUCUCUGAGUGAUACAGGCGUGUGGGCACAGAGGGCCCCGGGUCGGAGAGGAAUGAGAACCGGUGUUGGAGGGAGGAGGGCGCAAGAUCAUGCCUCUGACGACGCUCAGGUGUCCUCGGUAGAACACAGGCAACUUCACGUCAAAGGCCACGCCCUUGCUUCUGGUCCUUGUCCUACGUCAAGACGUAAAAUGAGUGAUGAACGUGAACCAGGGCCUGUUAACGGGAAUACUGGAAGGUCUAAGCUGGUUGGGGAUCAGGCCAGUGAAGUACAGGUCGAAACGCUUAAAGAGCCAGUAGUUGGCCGUUUAUGAUUUAUGAAAACAUAUGAUUCAGUGUUUUCAUUUCGCUUGGUUUUGUGCGGUUCAGCCUAAUUCUGUCUCGAGUGGCCCAUCGGUUUUAUCCUCCUGAGUUGGUAGAGACACCCUUUCGGCCUCCCUUUCUCACGGAGGGCCGGGGUUGUCGGGAGGACAGUCUGUUCUCACCAGCCCAGUGUGAGGAACCCCUGCUGUCUUCGUGGACGGGUCUCUUCUGGAAAGGAGAGAAGGAAGGUCACGUGCACACUCUGGUGCUGGAGGUCACCUCGGAAGCUCGGCUUGUCCUCUUCCCUCCAGCUGGACUAGGCUGAGAUCAUCAUUCGCCCCUUUGCAAGGAUCUCUGUCCGCAGCGGGAAAGUGUUCAGAGUGAGCUCCCUGCGAAGCGCUGUCUCCGCUCACCCUGCGGACACGACUGGGUGGGAGUCUGGUAGUAGAAACAGAGGGGAGACGUGUGUGAACAGCGAUCCCUUCCAAGCAAGGAGAGACUCUCGGUGCUGUUUGCCAGCCCUGGUCCGGGUGAAGGAUUCCAUGAUGGAUGCUGGCAGCCCCCCUCCGCCCCGACUCAGCGGCACCCUUGGGACAGUUGCAUGACGCCUCCAGCUGGCGUUUUCCCAGCACAGCAGACCGUUUCAGAGGUUUGAAAAGCUACCGUGUGAAGUCCUAGGGUUCCUCUGAGUUGCCUUUGGGUGGCUGCUGGGGAGGGCGGGCCGUCCUCCUGGGUCCGGCCUGGGCUGUCCCCGCCUCUUACUUUUCGCUCCUUUCGGCCAAGACGACCUCUGUCUUUUGUGUUUUAUAUUUGAAGAAAGAGUUCAGCAGCAAAAAGAAGCGCACUGGAUCCAACGAUCCGUCGGUCUUCUUCCAGCUCAGCGAGGAAUUAGCGGGCUUUCUCUCAACAUCCAGUGUGCAGUCUGACGGCGCACGCGCCAGUGCGGCGCAAGGAGAGCAGCUUUCCUCCUUCGCCGAGCGUCUCUGCCGUGACCCAUGACCAGACCUCUGUCCUGGAAAGGAGGGAACCUUCCAGCCUUCCUUCCAGCCCCUCCCCCAAGGAAAGGGGGGCUCAUUGGAUUGUCUGAUUGGGAGAGAGCCUCUGAUUUUGCAUGCCGAAGCCCCCUGGGUUCGCUUUCUGUCAGCCCAGCCUGCCCGCAGGCAGGGCUUGUUCUUUGAUCCUUGUGGCUGUCAGACAGCUCGGGCUGUGCCUCUGCCCUGGGGGGAAACCUGCAGUCUGGGGUGGGGGUGAAGCGGGGUACCCGAUUUGAGACCUCCAGUACAAGCCGUAUUUUGUUUUAUUUUUUAUUAGCGUAUAGUUGAUUUGCAGGGUUGUGUUAAUUUCUGCUGUACAGCAUAGUGACCCAGGUGUAUGUGUGUGUGUGUGUGUGUGUGUAUACAUAUAUAUAUAUAUAUAUAUAUAUAUAUAUAUAUAUAUAGAGAGAGAGAGAGAGAGAGAGAGAGAGAGACACUUUCUUUUUCGCAUGCUGAUGCUGUAUACCACCAUAUACCACCUCUUGGCACAGCCCCAUUUUCUGAUCCAGGUUUGCUGUAUUAUGAGCUGGUAGAGCUUGAUGAGAUGCCUGCAUUUAUUUCUCAGUAAGUUCUGAAACUGCAGGAGUGAGGGAGGAGGAAAUUUCCUUGGAGGUGCUUGGCAAACUAAGGCCUUAUCCGCCACCAUUAAUUCUUGAUUCCCCCGUAGAGAGAACACCUCCUACUGCAAUCUCUGGACCGGGAAUAACAGCGGCUGCAUGUUUCGAUUAAACUAAGAACCUGUCCUGCCCUGGGCCUCUUCCUUACUCUGUCUCUUGUUCUGCGCUGUGCCCAUAGCUGGUGCAUAAUGAGGGCACAUGGGUUAAUGAGCCACUCUCAUUGUUGACCCCCCUCGUCUGUGUGGCACCCUGCUUUUCCUUACGUUGCCUCUGCAGUUCAGUUUCACUCAGCCUUCAACUAUCACAGUUAGAUCUGGUCUCCGCCGGAGAGCAGGGAGCUCUGGUUGACAAGAGCAAUUGGCUCAAGCACAGAGCUCCCUGCUCAGACAUGCCCAAACCCUUUAAUCUCAGGAUCCUUUCUCCGUUCCAUCAGGAGCAGAUGUGACUGCUGGUUGCAAGCUGUCAGGGAACCGUGCAGCCUGGCAUGAAGCUUGCGGCCCCAGGAUGAAGCCCCUGCCGUUCCUCUGUCUCUGCGCUUCCGUCCUGGGCAGACUCCGUGCAGCACUUGCCCUUCUCAGUCCGGUUCCUGGUGUCCACAGGGUCCCUUUGUGGGUCCACCUUUAUCUCUUCCAGGGGACGGCAGAUCCUAUGCUUUCCUCAAGUGCACAGUCACUGCCGUCCUGUCUCAGUUCAUCUCCAGUGCUAAAGGCACGAUGAAUUUUAAAAUGCUUCUCCUGUCCAUCGCAUCCUCCUGCCUCCCACCAGUGUUCCAGUGCCGCUGGCACCUGCCAAGGUACUGCCAGUGACCGAAGCAGUGGAGCAAGGGUUUUAAGGCAUCGGAGCUGCUGCUCUGCACUGCCGUGUGCUGUGUCCCCUGCCUUCCCAUCUAAGUCACCAAGCGGGUGCAUGCCUCCGUGCAGAGGGACGCUGAACCGCUGGCGGCUCCCGCACAGGUCGUGUCUCAGUUCUGUGCCUGUGUCCCAUGGACCGCUCUGCCUGAAUGCCUUUCCCGCCCUCGGGGAGCCGCACGGCAAGCACAGGCAUUUACCUAGAGGGCAGGGAGAGACAGCCCUAAAGGCUCUGCAGGGCCUGGUGCUGGUGGCUGUGGCUCUCUCCGUUCCUGGGUGCUGUGCCAUGUGGUGGCACAAAGGGCCAGGGGCUAUGAGGAUGACCAGGAAUGCUGUCAGGACUUCCUUUCUCACGUACCCUCAAUGCACGGCGCCUGAGCAAGCAUCUGCUCAGUGGAACACAAAAGACACGAUCUGUCCCAGGACUUUUCCCGUCCCACCUCCCUCGACGCCGCCGCCGCGCUGGAUUCCUCUCUGGCUGAGAGACUCUGCCUCUGUACGGUCUCAUUUAAAAUGCAAAUGCCUGGGCGGUCCCUUUGUGGCUCAGCAGUUAAGGACCACGACGUUCGUUGCCUCUGUGAGGAUGAGGGCUGAAUCCCUGGG